GCCAACACUGUACGGGAUAUAUUUGAUAUAUUAUUCCGUUUUCCUCCAAAAUCACAAAUUAUCAGUGAUUUUGUUAGCAGUUGGAUUCGAGUCACACAUCCCAUUGUAAAUGCAAUUUAUACUGAUAAAACAACAAUUAAAGCCCUUCAAAUUUACGAUAAAUGACUUUGAUGCUUACAACAUGAAACGGGACCGAUGGUAUCUAACUACUCUUGGGCAGGCCUUUACACCAGACGAACAAACACUUGCUGAUAUGGACCACGUUUUUAACAAGUACAAUUGGCCAUCACAUCCCACGUCAAAAGAAACGUUUAUUGAUAAUCCACGAACCCGCCCUACAUGCGAGGAUUGUGCAGAAGUGUCACUUCCAAGGAGACGACGAAAGCAUUUUCCAGAGCAAGUGACUUAUUUAUCUGGAGACUAACGGUGUUGCCCCUAAUGGAAUGUCGACAGUCACACCAUGAAAAACAUAAACAACUUACACUCUUACGUACAUAUGGUUUUUUUAUAUUUAUGUACAGUUUGUUUACUAUUGUCUCAUUCUAAAUUUAACUAA